CGGCGGUGCGGCGUGCUAUACAUGCAAGUCGAGCGGAACCUAUUGGAGCUUGCUCCAUUGGUUUAGCGGCGGACGGGUGAGUAACACGUGGGCAACCUGCCCUGCAGAUCGGGAUAACUCCGGGAAACCGGUGCUAAUACCGAAUAGUUUUUUGCCCCUCCUGGGGCGAAACGGAAAGACGGUUUCGGCUGUCACUGCAGGAUGGGCCCGCGGCGCAUUAGCUAGUUGGUGGGGUAAUGGCCCACCAAGGCGACGAUGCGUAGCCGACCUGAGAGGGUGAUCGGCCACACUGGGACUGAGACACGGCCCAGACUCCUACGGGAGGCAGCAGUAGGGAAUCUUCCGCAAUGGACGCAAGUCUGACGGAGCAACGCCGCGUGAGUGACGAAGGUUUUCGGAUCGUAAAACUCUGUUGUGAGGGAAGAACAAGUACCAAGUAAAUACUGCUACCCUGACGGUACCUCUACAGAAAGCCACGC
rnacentral:rRNA from 1 species